ACUUGUGACUCUUCACUCUUCCCAUACCCAUGUAACAAUGGAACUCCCCGGUAGUAGUCUGGUCCAACAAGUGGUAUCAGAGCCAACUGUUCGGCUAGGACAUGGUAGACUUAAGGGAAAACGGACCGGAAAGUGUGAGAUACUCACACUUGAUGGGGAGAUUGUUGGGUUUAUUCAAGUGUGAAGUCCCACAUUGGAUAUGCAAGGAAGAAUGAAAG
rnacentral:lncRNA from 1 species